CGAGCAAGCGAUACAUUUACUAUCAGUGGAAACGAAACAAAAUUUCAAAAUAUGUUUGGCGAUAUUGCUAUUUUAAUAAUUCUCGUAUUUAUAAUGCUAAUACAUAUAUGCCUGACCUUCUGACUUCACUGACUGCCUAUGCAGGUGUUUUCUAAUUGCACAAUUCCCUUUUCAUUGCCUAUCUAGAUUUCCAUACGUACCCAAGGUGAAAGACUCAAGCUUAGGACUGCGUGGCAGCCGGUGUGACCAGAUGUGCAUGCUCUACGGUUACACUGUUAUGUAUUUGCUCACAAAUAAAACCAGUUUAAAUUCAAAUAUUGUAUGAAAAGAA